UGACACGACUGAAUGCCUGGUAGUGUC
rnacentral:piRNA from 1 species